UGGGUCCAUUAUGGACAAAAGAAAAGAGAGUGGGGAGCUCCCAAACAACUCUCCUAUUGAGUUAUAAAGAGAAAUAAUAAAAAAGAAUUAUAGAAGAAGCAUAAUGAAAGGAAGAGAAUCUAACAAGAGGGCUCGAACUCCUAAUGAUUUACUAGAAGAGAAUUGAGUGGGCAUUCACCACUUCCAUCAAUAAUCUUCGGGAAGCUCGUUCUGUCUCUUCUCGUGGAGUUUUUUCAUAUUCAAAGAGCAAGCAAUUUCGAACUCUCCAAAUAUUACAGCACAUAAUUUUAACUAGGAGUAAGGAUUGUUGGUCACCUCCACUCCUCGAUAGGUAAGCUUUUUUCCUUCUCCAGCACCGGUAAAGUUCUUCUUCCUCUUCUUCUAUCGUCACAUCUGCAAAUGGGCUUCUGAGCCAUACUUCUUUUGCCUUAUUGUAGGUGAAUAAGCAGUACAUAAUAGAUUCCUCCUCUAAUUGACACUGGAGGCAAAUCGCAGAAAUUGAAGGAAUUCGCUGAUGAAGAUUCAACAAGACAGGAAGCCUUCUAUGGAGGGCAGUGAUAAACCCAUAUUUUAUGAUAUAUUUUGUGCUCAAUUUAAGUGAUUUAUUAAAUCAUUCACCCACUUAUUCAUGUAAAUUAAUGGCUUUACUUUCACUUCCUUAUUAUGUGAUAUAUGUGAAAAACAUGUUUCCUAUGCUUUAAAAAUAUUAAUUUUAAUUACCCUUUAUUACCAUUCGAUGCCGUGAUUUGUGUGUUAAGUAUUUUCAGAUCUCCCAAGGCAGGAAUGGCUUAGAGGAUAGAAAGGAAACAUACAAAAUUGGAAGGAAAGCACAAAAAUGGAGUUUUGAAGAAAAGGGCAGCGACGUGAACGGAUGGACGACGCGGCCGCGUGCCUAGCGCGAAAAGGCAGCGACGCGAACGCGUGACUGACGCGGACGCUUGCCUUGAGCAGAACGCAAAUGACGCGUACGCGUGACCGAAGCGAACGCGUGACAAGGAAAACUCCCAGAUGACGCGACCGCGUGAUAGACGCCACGUGUAGAAACUGCAGAAAACGCCCCCAGCGAUUUCUAAAACCCUUUUGGCCCAGAUCCAAGUCUAGAAAACACAGAUUAGAGGUUAUAAAGUGGGGGAAUGCAUCCAUUCAUUAAGAUGUCUUCCAUUAUUCACUUUUCAUAAUUUAGAUGUAGUUUUUAGAGAGAGAGGUUCUCUCCUCUCUCUUAGGAUUUAGGAUUUUAGGUUGAACCAUUCAUGUUAGGCUUUUCUUUAUUUAAUAUAAGCUGAGGUAUUUCAGAUUUAUGAUUCUUAUUUAGCUUUUUAUAUUCUUGGCUUUAAUUGAUUUAUUGGAGACUCUUGAGUUAUCAAACUCAUCGUGAUUGAUAAUUGUUAUUUUUGCUAAUUGAAUUAAAUUCCGAUAACUUUAGUCCUUUCUUAGGAGUUGGCUAGGACUUGAGGAUCAAACUAAUUAGUCCACUUGACUUUCCUUUGCUUUAGUAAAGGUUAACUAAGUGGGAUUAAAACUCAAUUCUCAUCACCAUCGAUAAGGAUAACUAGGAUAGGACUUCCAAAUUUUCAUACCUUGCCAAGAGUUUUAUUAGUUAUUAAUUUAUUAAUUCUUGCAAUUUAUUUCCCUUGUUCAAACCUUUUAAAACCCAAAAACACUGUUUUCCAUAACUAAUAGUAAGAACACCUCCCUGCAGUUCCUUGAGAAGACGACCCGAGGUUUGAAUACUUCGGGUUAUAAAUUUUAUUGGGUUUGUUACUUGUGACAACAAAAAAUUUUGUAUGAAAGGAAUUCUUGUCGGUCUAGAAGCUAUACUUGCAACGCGAUUAUAUUUUUGUGAAAAUUCUAGAUCGCGUGAGAAUUUCGUUCUUCAAAAUGGCACUGUUGCCGGGGAAGAAUUGCAAACGUGUGCCUUAUUAUUGGUUAUUGUAAAUAUUUUUCUUUUGCUUGUUUAUUUUUUUCUGUUUUCAUUUUUAAUUCUUAUUAGCUACCAUGAGUUCUCACCCCUCUCGCUUUGAGUUUGGUUCUAAUAUUGUUGAAGGGAAUGAAAGCUAUAGCAGGAACAUGCAUCAAGGUCAGAACAGCUAAAGAUGGAUGGAGCCACGAGGACUUGAUCAACCCUUUAGGCAACAACACCCUCCACAGUAUCACAGACGACGACCAUUCUACAAUGCAUGCCAAGGCAAUAGAUACGGUGGAUCCCUUUGUAGUUACCAACAAGUUCCACCCUGUGCUUAUAAAUCACCCUCUUAACAUAGCUUUGAACCACCACACUCACAAGUUCCUUUUCACCAUUCACCACCGUAUGACCCUUAUCCACCACAAUUCCAAUCUAAUUACUCCCAAGAACCACCACCGCAAUAUUCACCAUCCCCAUAUCCUUAUCAAGAAGAACCACCUCUGUAUUAUGAGCCCUCUCUCCCAACCAAUGAACCCUCAUAUCCACCCCAAUCUCCAAUGGAUGACACCCUUCGUGUUCUUCUUCAAGGGCAAGCGAAGAUGCAAAGGGACGUACUGGAACUCACUACUGCCUUAACCGAGGAAGUAAAUAUAAUAGCUUCCCAACAUCUGAGCACUCAAAGUACUCCCAUGGCUACAUGUGGAGAAUCAAAAGAAGAGCGUAGCAUGAAGGAGACACUAGAAACUUUGGUGGACAAUGAGGAGCAUGGCUUUGUAUUGGAACAAGUGGAGGAAGCCAUAAUAGUUGUAGAUGAAGAAGUGGUUGAAGAUUUAGGAGAUGCUAAACCUCCAUGGGAAUCGAGAACUGUAAAGGAUUCUGCCGAGAAGUUCGAAUUUGAUGCCAAGGAGGAUAGUGCACAACCUCCAAAGCAUAUACCUUGUGGAAAAGUGGACGGAACAGACCAAGAAGUUGAUUCCAUAGGCAGUGAUGAUCAUGAAUCAAGCUCUCCUAGUCACGAACUUUGGUGCACGAAAUUGUGAUGUCCAGACUCAAACUAUUCCUGGCACGUGAGCAACUUGGUACGCGUAAUCGUAAUUACACAUUCAUAAUUUGUCACAACUUCGAUACAACUAACCAGCAAGUGCACUGGGUCGUCCAAGUAAUACCUUACGUGAGUAAGGGUCGAAUCCCACGGAGAUUGGCGGUAUGAAGCAAGCUAUGGUCACCUUGUAAAUCUCAGUCAGGCAGAUAUAAAUUGAUAAUGAUGUUUUCGAAUAAUAAAUAAUAGAGUAGGGAUAGAGGUACUUAUGUAAAUCAUUGGUAGGAAUUUCAGAUAAGCGAAUGGAGAUGCUUUUCGUUCCUCUAAACCUCUGCUUUCCUGCUAUCUUCAUCCAGUCAGUCUUACUCCUUUCCAUGGCUGGCUUUAUGUGAUACAUCACCACUGUCAAUGGCUACUUUCGGUCAUCUCACGGGAAAAUGAUCCAAUGCCCUGUCACGGCACGGCUAUUCAUCUGUCGGUUCUCGAUCAUGCUGGAACAGGAUUUCCUAUCCUUUUGCGUCUGUCACUAACGCCCUGCAAUCGCGAGUUAGGAGCUCGUCACAGUCAUUCACUCAUUGAAUCCUACUCGGAAUACCAGAGACAAGGUUUAGACCUUCCAGAUUCUCUUGAAUGCCGCCAUCAUUCUAGCUUACGCCACGAAGAUUCUGGUUAGGAGAUCUAAGAGAUACUCAUUCUAGCUUAUUUCAUGUAGAACAGAAGUGUUUGUCAGGCACGCGUUCAUAAGGGAGAAGGAUGAUGAGCGUCACACAUAAUCAUCACCUUCAUCACGUUCUUGGGUGCAAAUGGAUAUCUUAGAAGCGAAAUAAGAAGAAUUGAAUAGAAAACAGGAGUACUUUGCAUUAAUCUUUGAGGAACAGCAGAGCUCCACACCUUAAUCUAUGGAGUGUAGAAACUCUACCGUUGAAAAUACAUAAGUGAAGGUCCAGGCAUGGCCGAGAUGGCCAGCCCCCAAAACGUGAUCACAGGAUCAAAAUACAAUCCAGGAUGCCAAAUACAAUAGUAAAAGGUCCUAUUUAUAAUAAACUAGCUACUAGGGUUUACAUGAGUAAGUAAUUGAUGCAUAAAUCCACUUCCGGGGCCCACUUGGUGUGUGCUUGGACUGGGCUUUGAUUGUUACACGUGUAGAGGUCCUCCUUGGAGUUGAACGCCAGCUUUUGUGCCAGUUUGGGCGUUCAACUCUGGUUUUGGCUCCUUUUCUGGCGCUGGACGCCAGAUUUUGGUAGAAGGCUGGCGUUGAACGCCAGUUUACGUCGUCAAUUCUUGGCCAAAGUAUGGACUAUUAUAUAUUGCUGGAAAGCCCUGGAUGUCUACUUUCCAACGCAAUUGGAAGCGCGCCAUUUAGAGUUCUGUAGCUCCAGAAAAUCCACUUUGAGUGCAGGGAGGUCAGAAUCCAACAGCAUCAGCAGUCCUUCUUCAACCUCUGUUGCCCUUGCCUUUUGGUUUUAAGGGUUAUUGGCUUUUUGCUCUUGCCUCUUGGUUUUAAGAGCUUUGGCUUUUUCUGCUUGCUUUUUCUUUUUCUUCAAAUUUUUUUUUUCGCCUAAUUUUUUUUUUUGCAAGCUUUGUUCUUUGCUGCUUUUUCUUGCUUCAAGAAUCAUUUUUAUGAUUUUUCAGAUUAUCAAAUAACAUGUCUCCUAGUCAUCAUUCUUUCAAGAGCCAACAUAUUUAACAUUCUUAAACAACAACUUCAAAAGACAUAUGCACUGUUCAAGCAUACAUUCAGAAAACAAGAAGCAUUGUCACCACAUCAAUAUAAUUGAGCUAAGUUCAAGGAUAAAUUCGAAACUCAUGUACUUCUUGUUCUUUUGAUUUAAAACAGUUUUUUAUUUUAAGAGAGGUGAUGGAUUCAUAGGACAUUCAUAACUUUAAGACAUAGUUACUAACUGCUAAUGAUAAUGUAAUGAAGACACAAACAUAGAUAAGCACCAUAACAUAGAAAACGAAAAACAGAGAAAGUAAGAACAAGGAAUGAGUCCACCUUAGUGAUGUCCUUGAGCUCUUCUAUGUCUCUUCCUUGUCUUUGCUGCUCCUCCUUCAUUGCUUUUAGAUCUUCUCUGAUUUCAUGAAGGAUGAUGGAGUGCUCUUGAUGUUCCACCCUUAGUUGCUUCCAAUAAUUGUGUGGAAGAAAAUGUAUCCCCUGAGGUGUCUCAGGGAUCUCUUGAUUUGCAGUCAAAUGUUCUACCACUGAGCUAUAGACCCUUGAUGGAAGCUUUUAUCUUCCUUUCCUCUUUCUAGAGGCCUCUCUGGCCUUAGGUGCUAUCAAUGGUUAUGGAGAAAAACAAAAAAGCUAUGCUUUUUACCACACCAAACUUAGAAUGUUGCUCGCCCUCGAGCAAAAGAAGAAAGAAUAGAAGACGAAGAAGAAGAUAUGGAGGAGAUAGAUGGAUGUGUGUAUUCGGCCAUAUGGGUGGGAUUGGGUGGGAGAGAGAUGUUGAAUUUUGAAGGUAGUGGUUGUAUGGAUGUGAGUGGUAAAUGGAAAACAGAAGGGAUGAUCAUGAAUGGGAAGAGAGAUGAUGAGGUAGGUGGGGAUCCUGUGGGGUCCACAGAUCCUGGGAUGAUCCUGUGGGGUCCACAGAUCCUGAGAUGAUCCUGUGGGGUCCACAGAUCCUGAGGUGUCAAGGCAUUUACAUCCCUGCACCAAUUUAGGCAUGUAAAAUGCCCUUGUACACAACUCUGGGCGUUCAGCGCCAGGUUGGUGGCCAUUUUGGGCGUUCAACGCCCAUUUGCUGCCAUUUCUGGCGUUGAACGCGAGAACCAUGCUUGUUCUGGGCGUUCAGCGCCAGAACCAUGCUCUGUUCUGGCGUUUGAACGCCAGGCAGAUGCUCCUCCAGGGUGUGAUUUUUCUUCUGCUGUUUUUUAUUCCGUUUUCAAUUUUUAUAUUUAUUUUGUGACUCCACAUGAUCAUGAACCUACAAAGACAUAUAAUUAAGAAAAAUAUGGUUAGAUAAAUAAAAAUUGGGUUGCCUCCCAACAAGCGCUUCUUUAAUGUCAAUAGCUUGACAGUGGGCUCUCAUGGAGCCUCACAGAUGUGCAGAGCUUGGUUGAGACUCUCCAACAGCAAACUUAGAGUUUGGAUAUGGGAGUUCAACACCAAACUUAGAGUUUGGUUGUGGCCUCCCAACACCAAACUUAGAGUUUGACUGUGGGGGCUUGGGUUGACUCUGCUUUGAGAGAAGCUUUUUCUGCUUCCUCCCCAUGGUUGUAGAGGGAGAUCCUUGAGUUUUGUGUUUGCUCCAAUGGCAGGAAUGGAGAUGCUUCUUCCAUGUAAAUUGGAAUUAGGUGCAGUAAAGUCACCAAGCAUCUUCCUUACAUUAUUAUUAUUUUCGGCUGCCAUCUCCUCUUCUUGUUCGAAAAUUUCUGAAAUGUUAUCUCUAGAUUGUUGUAUUUUAGCUUCCCUUAAUUUUCUCUUCAGAGUCCUUUCAGGUUCUGGAUCUGCUUCCACAAGAAUGUUCUUAUCCUUGCUCCUGCUCAUAUGACAAAGAAGAGGGCACAGAAAAAUAAUAAUAAUAAUAGAGAUCCUUUAUACCUCAGUAUAGGGAUCCCUGUGUGAGUAGAAGAAGAGGGGAAGACAAAGAAUGCAAUAUAAUGGAAGAAACACAACUGUGAGGAUGGUAGAGAUGUGAGAUGAGAUGUUAGUAGAUGAAUAAAUAAAUAGAAUAAGAUGAGAGAGACGGAAUUUUCGAAAAUGAUUUUUGAAAAAGAGUUAGUGAUUUUUGAAAAUAGUUUUUGAAAAAUGUUAGUAAUUUUCGAAAAUUAAGAUUUAAAAAUUAAAAAUUAAUAAAUUAAAAAGAAAUUUUGAAAAAAAAGGAGAAGAUAUUUUCGAAAAUGAGAGAGAGAGAGUUAGUUAGGUGGUUUUGAAAAAGUUAAAAAACAAACAAAAAGUUAGUUAGUUAGUUGAAACAAAUUUUGAAAAUCAAUUUUGAAAAGAUAGGAAGUUAGGAAGUUAGAAAAGAUAUUUUGAAAAUCAAAUUUUUGAAAAAGAUAAGAUGAGAAGAUAUUUUUGAAAAGAUAUGAUAGAGAUUAGUUUUUUCUGGCGCUGGACGCCAGAUUUGGGUAGAAGGCUGGCGUUGAACGCCAGUUUACGUCGUCUAUUCUUGGCCAAAGUAUGAACUAUUAUAUAUUGCUGGAAAGCCCUGGAUGUCUACUUUCCAACGCAAUUGGAAGCGCGCCAUUUCGAGUUCUGUAGCUCCAGAAAACNNNNNNNNNNNNNNNNNNNNNNNNNNNNNNNNNNNNNNNNNNNNNNNNNNNNNNNNNNNNNNNNNNNNNNNNNNNNNNNNNNNNNNNNNNNNNNNNNNNNNNNNNNNNNNNNNNNNNNNNNNNNNNNNNNNNNNNNNNNNNNNNNNNNNNNNNNNNNNNNNNNNNNNNNNNNNNNNNNNNNNNNNNNNNNNNNNNNNNNNNNNNNNNNNNNNNNNNNNNNNNNNNNNNNNNNNNNNNNNNNNNNNNNNNNNNNNNNNNNNNNNNNNNNNNNNNNNNNNNNNNNNNNNNNNNNNNNNNNNNNNNNNNNNNNNNNNNNNNNNNNNNNNNNNNNNNNNNNNNNNNNNNNNNNNNNNNNNNNNNNNNNNNNNNNNNNNNNNNNNNNNNNNNNNNNNNNNNNNNNNNNNNNNNNNNNNNNNNNNNNNNNNNNNNNNNNNNNNNNNNNNNNNNNNNNNNNNNNNNNNNNNNNNNNNNNNNNNNNNNNNNNNNNNNNNNNNNNNNNNNNNNNNNNNNNNNNNNNNNNNNNNNNNNNNNNNNNNNNNNNNNNNCGAAGCCCCCAACCACCAAACCGCCACCACAGCGCCGCCUCCCACCACCACAACCUUCGACCCAAUCUCCUCCCUCACCCCUCCCUUAAACCUAACCCCACAACCCCCCUUAAACCUAACCCAACACCACCAACAACCCUAAGCCGCCACCUUCGACCGCCGUGCUUCCCUUCCAUUACCGCCGCGUCAGCACCACCACCACCACAUUCCCACCAUCUCUCUGUUCCAUACAUUUGUACUUCUACACACCAGGUUCCGCCAUACUGCGAUUCCUCUUUUCGAUUACUUAGUUAGUUUUUCAAAUUUUAUUCAGCAUAGGAUAGUUAGAGAUGCAUGUUUGUAGUGGAUUCUAGGUGGUUAGGUAGCUAGGAUGUGGUUAGUAGAUUUAGGCCUGCUAAUUGCGCCGUUCUUGUUACUUGUUUUACCUAUUCUGCAAUUUUGAUCUGGCUGUGACGUUAAUACUAUUCAUAUGCUGUUCUUUAAUGUUUCACGCUGCUGUUAGACUAUUCUUUACUACUCCUAGUGUUUGUGACUCUUUGCGGCGCUUUUUAAUCUCAUAUAAAUUGUUUUUUCUUACUGUUUAUUACCCGGGAACAUCCAAUUUUAGCCAGAAUGCUGCCCAAUUUUCUACAAAUGGUUUCAUUUUUUCAUUCAUGUAUUGGUUUUGGCAAUUUUGAAUUUUGCAUUACUUAGCUAUAACCAAACCAAUUCAUGAAUGCACGGGCUCGCAUUCUUAUUCCUUUCGAUUCCCUGGUUAAUAAAUUGCAUUAUUGAUGAUUUCAUUUUAGUUUUAGCUACUCCUGUAUCUAUAUGAAUUAUCAUCAAUAACCUGAUAUCCUUGCUUAACUAUGAGUUGAUUAUUCUUUAAACUUGUGAAAUUUAUUGUAAACUAGGAAACCAUUAUCAUGUCCCCUACUUUAACUUUCUUUUUACUAACUCACUGCUUUCCACUUUCUAACCUCUUUUUUACCUACUAACCACUUUAACUUUCUAACUAAGGGCAUAAUCUUUGUUUUUCUUAUUUAACUUGAAUUCCGCUUAGCAUAUAUUUUGGAUUGCAUUUUUUUCUUUUCAGACUUUUUCACUCGUAUACAAUCCAAAUUGCACAUAUAUUCAAUUCAUUUCAUGCUUCUCUUGCUCUUUUGCCACUCUGUGUUUAUAUUGCUAUUAUUCUAUUCGCCUACUUGUUUUCCUGCUUUUGUCUUCAAUUAUAUCCUGAAAUUUUUGCUUUUCAGGAUGUUUGACCCUCAACGCAAAGGAAAAGGCAAAGCAACCACUGGCAAAAGGAAAAGAGGCGAAUCCACUAUGACCAUCCUCGACAUUUUGCAUGACGACUCCUGGCGGGAAAAGCACUUUACCCCGCAGGAGAAGGCUGACCAGCUCCUCACUGCCACAGAUCCAGUUAAAUUUGCAAACAGAUACUGUGAGCUAAAGUAUCCAGUGUUUGUCACUUCCAGGAACCUGUACCUGGAGAGAACUCUAAAAAUUCCAGAAGAACUACAGCAGUACACCUCCGAACAGAUAAAACAGAGAGGCUGGUUCUUCUUGGAAUGAAACUUGACAGAGGUCAAUGCUUCCUGGGUCAGAGAGUUUUACUGCAACUAUUUCAAGACUUCCCUGGAUGCAGUGCACCUCAGAGGGAAACAGAUUUUGGUCACUGAGGAAGCUAUUGAGGACAUCCUCCACCUUCAGCCUAAGUCAGAUCAGCCUGACGGUUACCAAAAGGCUGAAGAGGAUAUGAGAUUUAUGAGAUUUGAUUGGGAUGCUGUCAAGCAGAGAAUAGCCCUUGAUCCUACUAUCCCAUGGGUCAUGGGAAAGAAUACAGCGAUGCCUAAGGGAAUUAAGCUGAUUUACCUGAAUGAUGAGGCUCAGCUCUGGCACCCGAUUCUGAGCAACUAUGUGAUGCUGAACACUCAUGAGACAGAGCUGCCCGCUGCUAUGAUCACCCUCAUCUGGUGUGUGAUGGAGGGUAAUGACCUGUAUCUUCAACGUUUCAUCAGGCAUUACAUGGCCAGGGUCCAUGUCAGAGGCACCUUUCCUUUCCCUUAUCUAAUCACCCAGCUAGGCCGCCGAGCUGACGUGCCUUGGGAGCUGGUCGAUGCGAAGCCAACUGAUGCAGAUUGUAAGAAGAUCAUUCCGCACAGUAGGAAGUUUCAGGCUUUAGGCUACAGACCCACAUUCCUCACCACUUCUGCUGAGGCAGCCACAUCUUCAGCUGCCCCUUCUGCCUCCACUGCUGCACCAGCCUCAUCCACUGCACAUCCACCUGCUCCUGAUCCCAUUUAUUAUUUGGUGCAUCGACUCUUCGCCUGCCUGGAUCGUAUGGAGCGUCACAACAAGCAGCGCUAUGAGCACCUUAAGUUGAUGAUCCGAUCCGGCAGCGACAUCCCCUCCGAGCCUGACACCCCUUCUGAUACAUCUGAGGUGGAGGCGAGCGAUCAUGAGGAGGAGACACAUACCCAGGCCGAGCAGGGAGGACCUGAGCAGGCUGCGCCACAGCAUGAGGAGCCACACCAGAUCCAGGCCGCAGACUCGGAGAUUCCUCUACAGUCAGCACCCCCACUACAUCAGACCGAUCCCACUACCCUCAUAGAGAAUGCAGACCCUCAGGCUACCACAAAGACUCCAGCAGCCCAUCCUUCCGGUGAUGACACUUCUUCACACCCAGCUUGAGUGAGCAUCGAGGACGAUGCUAUAUUUUAAGUGUGGGAAGGUCGCCAUCCCUGGCUUAUCUUUUUGGUGAACCACUAUAGGCUCUUCUAUCUUAUUUUGUUUAUUUUUCUGUAUUUUUAUUUUUAUUUUUAUCUUUUAGCACUUGCACAUUGUUCUUUUGCUGUAUUUUUACUUUAUUUCUGCAUUUUUCACUUUAGUUUAUAUCUUAGACAUUUAGUUAGUUUGCAAUUCUAAACUUAUUAGUUAUAGAAUAUGUGGAUUAAUUAGUAUAGUUUACCCUUUUAGCAUAUAAUAGUUUGGUUUAAUUGAAAAUAAAAGGAGUAAACUAGAAACUUUAGUAAAUUAAAACAAUCCACACACCUUCUAUAUAUAGCAUUACAUGUUAGUUAGUUAACAACAUUUCUUCAAGGAGGAACACUAAGAUUUUAAAGGCCACCCAAAGAUUUACAUUGAGUUGAAUGGAAACUCUUGAUUUCUACUUGCAUGACAUGUAUAACUGAUAUAUGAUUUUUGAGCUGGAGAACACACAGCCUGUGAGUUUUGAGCUUAAUUGUAUGGUUACAUUCAAACCAUAAAUUCCAUUCCUGUGUGUUUUGCCCUUCUUUUUCAUUCUGGUGUUCUUUACUUUGUUUUAAUCUAUAUGUCCAAUAUAGAAUAUAGAUACAUACCAAGAGAUGAUUGAGGCCAUCGUUUGAAUUUUUCCAUACUUAUCCCAAUUUAGCCUGUGAGAACCUCAAUGAUGGCUUGGAGUUUAGUUUUAUUUUCCUCUAAAUUACCAUGUGCUAUAUAUAUAUAUAUAUUUUCAGUAUUUAAAUAAGGAGAUACAAAAAUUUCCCAAAUGCAAAAUAAAAAGAAUCAAUGCACAUGGGACAAAAUUUCAAAAUUAAAUUUAACACAUGAGCUUGUAAUACAAAGUGAAAAAAUUUGGGUAAAUAGGUAAAGAAACUUUAAAUUCUAUAAAGUAUGUAUGUUAGGUGAAAUCUUAGACUAAUCAAGGAUUCACUUUGUUAGCUCACUUAGCCUUAUACAUAUACCCUUACCUUUACCUUGGUCCCAUUACAACCUUGAAAAAGACCUCAUAAUUUUUGUAUGUCUGUAUUCCAUAGUUGUUGAUUGGUUAGAUGAAGAACAAAAUUUUAGAAAGCUAAAUUGCAAGAUUUUACUUUUCCUUCCUUAUUAUGUGAUAUAUGUGAAAAACAUGUUUCCUAUGCCUUAAAAAUAUUAAUUUUAAUUACCCUUUAUUACCAUUCGAUGCCGUGAUUUGUGUGUUAAGUAUUUUCAGAUCUCCCAAGGCAGGAAUGGCUUAGAGGACAGAAAGAAAACAUACAAAAUUGGAAGGAAAGCACAAAAAAGGGGUUUUGAAGAAAAGGGCAGCGACGCGAAUGCAUGGAUGACGCGGCCGCGUGCCUAGCGCGAAAAGGCAGCGACGCGAAUGCGUGACUGACGCGGACGCUUGCCUUGAGCAGAACGCAAAUGACGCGUACGCGUGACCGAAGCGAAUGCGUGACAAGGAAAACUCCCAGAUGACGCGACCGCGUGACCCACGCGGACGCGUGAUAGACGUCACGUGCAGAAACUGCAGAAAACGCCUCCAUCAAUUUCUGAAACCCUUUUGGCCCAGAUCCAAGUCCAGAAAACACAGAUUAGAGGUUAUAAAGUGGAGAAAUGCAUCCAUUCUUUAAGAUGUCUUCCAUUAUUCACUUUUCAUAAUUUAGAUGUAGUUUUUAAAGAGAGAGGUUCUCUCCUCUCUCUUAGGAUUAGGAUUUUAGGAUUUCUAUUAGUUUAGUUCAAUUCAUCUUCAGUCACAGGUUCAAUAUUCCUUUUACUUUAUAUUUCUCUUCUGCUUUCAGAUACUUUAAUGCUUUUAUUUGAUAAUUACUUAUGUUGCCAAAUUGGCUUAUGAACCAUUCAUGUUAGGCUUUUCUUUAUUUAAUAUAAGCUGAGGUAUUUCAGAUU
rnacentral:lncRNA from 1 species